rnacentral:rRNA from 1 species
AGCCACAGCCAUAUCACCCUGCAGCUAAGCUCCCCUAUACUCCCUGAAGUUAAGCAGAGCUGAGACUGGUCAGUACCUGGAUGGGAGACCACAUGGGAAAACUAGGUUCCUGUUGGAA